UGAUUUUAUUAUAUAGACAUUAAUUUUUAUAUUUUUUUUUAAUUUGACAUUUGUAUUAAUUUUAUUAUAUUAUAUGGUGUAUAUCUAUUAUAAUAAAGUUGGAUUGUUUCUCUUCUCCUGCGUCCACGUCAUCAAGGAAGGAGGAGUGUUUUUGGACACGUGUAAUUGUUAUUUUAACUUUUUGGACUACUUAUGUUUUUUUCUUUGAUGGGCUCUUCAUAGAUGGUCCAUCUCCGUCUAGGGUUUCUGCUUGCUGCGACCAGGACUCGUCUCCUUCUCCAAAUCUCUUCGUCUUCUAGAAACUCAGACCAUCACCUCUGUAACGUCAUCCGUUUGUGGCUUCGAUCUCAUCAUUUACCGCGUACCCAUUACUCAUUCAACUCUCUCUAAAUUAAACAUAGUCAUUAUCAUCAAAAGAGACUCUUCACUAUAAAAUGGUACCUUCUCAGAGAUGAAUAGCCACAGUUGUCCUCCGAGAUCUCUGCUUACGCGUUUAGUGACGUUACACAGAGCGACAACAAAUUCCGGCUCUCUGAUGCCCAUGUCUCUAUUCGAUUCACUGAUGGUACAAAUUUGAAGAAAUAACGGAUUCUGAUAAGCUGAUACCAACUGAGAUGUUUCGAUUCCGCAGCUACAAUGAUCUAUUGGCACUGGCAAAUACCAAUAAACAACUACCAGAUAUACUUGGAGAGUUAAUUGCUAUCAUCAAUGAUGGAACACACGGUUCAUAGUGUGUCAUGCUUACACUACGUACAGAAAGGGACGUGAAUGUAUGUGUUAGCCUGUUUGACGGUUUACCUUUCGCAUUUCAUAGCAAAUUGGACAGCUACGGCUCUGAGCCAAAAGUUGUGGUGGUUACUAGCAUAAACCCUAAGUUUGUAGGAGCCCUGUUAUUCCUCAACUUGACAUCUGGAAACUAUCUCUACUUUGACACUGAGCAGCUGCGGGAAAAGAAAACUAUGAAAAAUAGAUUGGGGAUGGCUCUAACCAGACACUCUCUUCAUCAAAGUUGCUUCACGCCCAGAAAAUAGAACCACUCACCAUAUCUGAGCUAAACAAAUAUGUUAUCACAUCUGAGCCUCAGAUUAUUGCGUUUCUGUGUACCGCCAAAGUUAAUGGUACUCAGACAGAUAAAGGAUGGUGUUAUAUUGGAAGCUCGAAAUGUUCAACAAAGCUACAGCGAGACAUUUCUUCUUUCACAUGCCUUUUCUGUGAUAAAACCAACGUUGUGGCUGCCCUCAGGCACCGCGUGGAGCUGUCUGUAUCAGACCUGAAGGAUGAUGCUGUUUUUGUGGCCUUUGAUAUGGAAAUUGUAAACUUAACAAGCAUUCAAGCAUUUGAAGCUGCGCAAAUUUUGGCAUAGGUUCCCUCUUUCAAGCAUUUAAUUUUAAUUAAUUCUCUUACGUCUGUGUAUAGCAAUGAAACCCACCUUAAUAUUUAUGUUAUAUCAAUGAUUAAAUUAUGUUUUCACCUAUCAAUGAGUUCAAGGUACAAGUGUGAAUGCUCGUGUAUACAACGAUAUCCCCCAGUUUAUCUCUGAUAUUGUGGGAAAAACUUGCAUAUUUCAGCUCAAGUUAGUCAAGUUCAAUUUCACAUCCAAGCACCAGACCUUCACCAUACCCCGUAUCAUCAGUGAGCAUCAGCAUCCACCACUCCCAGACUUUGUUAUACAUGAAGAUGGUCAUGAGAAUCGAAAAAGAAGUCCCGCAUGGCAUAGCUACAGUUGCCGAAGCAAUAUCCCCACUUACUAUACUUACUAAACAAAACUCUCUAUUUUAUUGUUACAUUAAUGUCGUUGUGGCUGUUUGAACUAUUUCUGCAAGUUUUACUAUAACAAGGCUUCGUUUUAUUUUAACACAUUUGCACUUUUAUGAACUUGCAUGCUAUCCAAGUUAUAUAUUUUUGUGAAACAUGUACCAAUGUAAUGUCGUACCUAUAUAUCAAAAACU